UCCAACACUUCAAAUCGGAUCGU
rnacentral:miRNA from 1 species